rnacentral:rRNA from 1 species
UACGAAGGGGGCUAGCGUUGCUCGGAAUCACUGGGCGUAAAGGGUGCGUAGGCGGGUCUUUAAGUCAGGGGUGAAAUCCUGGAGCUCAACUCCAGAACUGCCUUUGAUACUGAAGAUCUUGAGUUCGGGAGAGGUGAGUGGAACUGCGAGUGUAGGGGUGAAAUUCGUAGAUAUUCGCAAGAACACCAGUGGCGAAGGCGGCUCACUGGCCCGAUACUGACGCUGAGGCACGAAAGCGUGGGGAGCAAACAGGG